AAGGAUCAUUACCGAAUUGUCAACACGAGUUGUUGCUGGUCCUCAGAUGGGGGCAUGUGCACGCUCUGUUUACACAUCCACUCACACCUGUGCACCCUCUGUGGUUCUGUGGCGUGGAGGGCUCUGUCCUCUCGCUGUGGUUCUGCAUCUUUACACACACACACUAUAAUAAAGUCUUAUGGAACGUAUGUCGCGUUUAACGCAAUACAAUACAACUUUCAGCAACGGAUCUCUUGGCUCUC
rnacentral:misc_RNA from 1 species